rnacentral:pre_miRNA from 9 species
UCUAGAUAGCGUAAAAUUUAACUAAUAUUUGUAUGGAGUUGGAACUUUUGCCCACGUUUGCCGCUAGGGGCGCUGUUUCAACUGCAUAAAAAUUUGAGUUAACUUUUACGCUAUCGA